AGUCGCGUGGUCUAAUGGUUAUGAUUUCUCGUUCACAUCGUCAAUCCUCAUUUGAUGGAGGUUCCGAGAAGGUUCCCGGUUCGAUCCCGGGCGCGACUA
rnacentral:tRNA from 1 species